rnacentral:tRNA from 1 species
AGCACCUGCCUUACAAGCAGGGGGUCACAGGUUCGAGCCCUGUUGGUCCCACCA